rnacentral:tRNA from 1 species
GCUGGGGAUAUAGCUCAGUUGGUAGAGUGCUUGCCUUGCAUGCACAAAGCCCUGGGUUCAAUCACCAGCAGCA